rnacentral:rRNA from 1 species
GACGUAGGGCGCGAGCGUUGUCCGGAUUUAUUGGGCGUAAAGAGCUCGUAGGCGGUCCGUCACGUCCGCUGUGAAAACCCAGGGCUCAACCCUGGGCUUGCAGUGGAUACGGGCAGACUAGAGGUAGGUAGGGGAGUCUGGAAUUCCUGGUGUAGCGGUGAAAUGCGCAGAUAUCAGGAGGAACACCGGUGGCGAAGGCGGGACUCUGGGCCGAUACUGACGCUGAGGAGCGAAAGCGUGGGGAGCAAACAGG